rnacentral:rRNA from 1 species
AUUGAACGCUGGCGGCAUGCCUUACACAUGCAAGUCGAACGGUAACAGGUCUUCGGAUGCUGACGAGUGGCGAACGGGUGAGUAAUACAUCGGAACGUGCCCGAUCGUGGGGGAUAACGCAGCGAAAGCUGUGCUAAUACCGCAUACGAUCUACGGAUGAAAGCGGGGGACUCGCAAGGGCCUCGCGCGGACGGAGCGGCCGAUGGCAGAUUAGGUAGUUGGUGGGAUAAAAGCUUACCAAGCCGACGAUCUGUAGCUGGUCUGAGAGGACGACCAGCCACACUGGGACUGAGACACGGCCCAGACUCCUACGGGAGGCAGCAGUGGGGAAUUUUGGACAAUGGGCGCAAGCCUGAUCCAGCCAUGCCGCGUGCAGGAUGAAGGCCUUCGGGUUGUAAACUGCUUUUGUACGGAACGAAAAGCUCUCUCUAAUACAGGGGUGAAUGACGGUACCGUAAGAAUAAGCACCGGCUAACUACGUGCCAGCACG